rnacentral:rRNA from 1 species
CUACGGGAGGCUGCAGUGGGGAAUAUUGCACAAUGGAGGAAACUCUGAUGCAGCAACGCCGCGUGGAGGAUGACACUUUUCGGAGCGUAAACUCCUUUUAUAUAGGAAGAAGAUGACGGUACUAUAUGAAUAAGCGCCGGCUAACUCCGUGCCAGCAGCCGCGGCAAUACGGAGGGCGCACGCGUUACUCGGAAUCACUGGGCGUAAAGAGCGUGUAGGCGGAUUAAAAAGCCAGAAGUGAAAUCCUAUAGCUUAACUAUAUAACUGCUUCUGAAACUCUUAAUCUAGAAUAUGGGAGAGGUAGAUGGAAUUUCUGGUGUAGGGGUAAAAUCCGUAGAGAUCAGAAGGAAUACCGAUUGCGAAGGCGAUCUACUAGAACAUUAUUGACGCUGAGACGCGAAAGCGUGGGGAGCAAACAGGAUUAGAUACCCCCGUAGUC